rnacentral:rRNA from 1 species
CCUACGGGAGGCUGCAGUGGGGAAUAUUGCACAAUGGGCGCAAGCCUGAUGCAGCCAUGCCGCGUGUGUGAAGAAGGCCUUCGGGUUGUAAAGCACUUUCAGCGGGGAGGAAGGCGGUGAGGUUAAUAACCUCAUCGAUUGACGUUACCCGCAGAAGAAGCACCGGCUAACUCCGUGCCAGCAGCCGCGGUAAUACGGAGGGUGCAAGCGUUAAUCGGAAUUACUGGGCGUAAAGCGCACGCAGGCGGUCUGCCAAGUCGGGUGUGAAAUCCCCGGGCUCAACCUGGGAACUGCAUUCGAAACUGGCAGGCUAGAGUCUUGUAGAGGGGGGUAGAAUUCCAGGUGUAGCGGUGAAAUGCGUAGAGAUCUGGAGGAAUACCGGUGGCGAAGGCGGCCCCCUGGACAAAGACUGACGCUCAGGUGCGAAAGCGUGGGGAGCAAACAGGAUUAGAUACCCGAGUAGUC